rnacentral:misc_RNA from 1 species
GAUGAAGAACGAAGCAAAAUGCGAUAAGUAAUGUGAAUUGCAGAAUUCAGUGAAUCAUCGAAUCUUUGAACGCACAUUGCGCCCGCUGGUAUUCCGGCGGGCAUGCCUGUUCGAGCGUCAUUUCAACCCUCAAGCCCCCGGGAUUGGUGUUGGGGAUCGGCUCUGCCCUUCUGGGCGGUGCCGCCCCCGAAAUACAUUGGCGGUCUCGCUGCAGCCUCCAUUGCGUAGUAGCUGACACCUCGCAACUGGAACGCGGCGCGGCCAUGCCGUAAAACCCCAACUUCUGAAUGUUGACCUCGGAUCAGGUAGGAAUACCCGCUGAACUUAAGCAUAUCAAUAAGCGGAGGA